GACGAACGCUGGCGGCGUGCUUAACACAUGCAAGUCGAGCGGAAAGGCCCCAAUGUGGGGUAUCCGAGUGGCGAACGGGUGGGUUACACGUGAGUAGGCUACCCUCGCCUUAGGAAUAACUUCAGGACACUGGGGCUGAUCCCGGAUAGGAGCAUCUGCUGCAUGGAAGGGGUUAGAAAGACUCGGCGGUUGGGGCUGGACUCGCGGCUUAUCAGCUUGUUGGUGGGGUAGUGGGUCACCAAGGCGUUGACGGGUAGACGGCCUGGGAGGGUGACCGGCCACAUUGGGACUGAGAUACGGCCCAGACUCCAACGGGACGCAGCAGUGGGGAAUAUUGCACAAUGGGCGGGAGCGUGAUGCAGCGCCGCCGCGUGCGGGAAGACGGGCUUCGGGUUGUAAACCGCUGUCGCCUGAGACGAAGCGAGAGUGACGGUACCGGGUAAAGAAGCCCCGGCUAACUACGUG
rnacentral:rRNA from 1 species